CUGGCCCUUGCUGGCCUUGAAGAUGGAAGAGGCCAGAAGCCAAAGAAUGUGGGCAGCCUCUAGAAGCUGGAAAAGGCAAAAAACGCAUUCUCUCCUAGAGCCUUUUAGAAAGGAACGCAGCCCUACCAACACUUUGAGAUCCAUUUCAGACUUCUGACCUGCAGAACUGCAAGGAUUUUCUGGAAGUGGGGAUUACGUCAGUCCUGGUGUUGCAGGUUUUGUUUAUUUUAACUAAGGAAGCUGAAUGCUAAUGGUGAGGAGUUUCCAUUUGCAAAAUGUAAGUAAUUUUAUUUUUUAUUAUAAAAGUAUUCAUGCUUGUUAUAAAAAUUAUAACAGUGCAGAAGUGUAUAAAGCUCGAAGUAAAGUGUCUUAACUCCCACAGCCAGCACUCAGUCACCAGUCAGGGUAAUUGUUCUCCUGCCCCUCAACAGGCAAUUGGCACUCCCCUUAGCCAACCUUCUUGAGGGAGCAGUUAAGACUCUAAAAGUAAAUCUUUGCUUAUUUUAAUGGUUCUAACAAUUGAUGAAAUAGAAGAAUAACAGGGGCCAGCCUGAUGGUGCAGUGGUUAAGUUCGCAUGCUCCACUUCGGCAGCCCAGGGUUCACAGGUUCAGAUCCCGGGUGCAGACCUACACACUGCUCAUCAAGCCGUGCUGUGGUGGUGUCCCACAGACAAAAUAGAGGAAGAUUGGCACAGACGUUAGCUCAGCAACAAUCUUCCUCAAGGAAAAAAAAAAAAAGAAAUACCAUUUGUAGAUUUGUCUUCUUCUGAAAAGUCCAGAUUCAGAUCUUAUAGCCCAACUUAUAAAUCCACAUUAAGUUAGAUUUCCAUACUUAAGAGAAAUAACUUAUACUAUUAUUAGAGUAAUGUAAAAAUUGCAAAAGACAAAUAAACUACAUUAAUAUACCAAUAGCCAUUUUACCGAGGUGACAGGACUGUGGGGGAGUUCUUUUUUUUCUGCCAUUCUUUGUAGAUUGGGGUAUUGCUUUCGUGUUACUUGUAUAAUGAAAAAAGAAGUUUUACGAAAAACACUCCUGAUAAUGACAUGCUGGAAUAGUUGAUUGAAUUCAAACCAAGCAGCCCAAUAACCGACACUUACUAAAUCUUUGUUGAUUAAAUAGCUUUAAAAAAAGUAUUACUGCUAUUUCCUUUUAGGUUAUUU
rnacentral:lncRNA from 1 species